UCAAACUUGUAAAUAAAUUUAAUCAUAUUGACUUAAAAUUACAAAAGACAAAAAGAAUUAACACCCAUUCAAACUUUUGGGCCUUUUGUGCCUCUUUUAAACUUAAAUUUUUAUUAAAAGCAAUCCAGUCAUUUUGAAAUUGAUACCACGAACUACGAGGUUUUGAUCCCUCAUUUUUAUGUUGGUACAUAGGCACAAGGCCGAAGGUCUUGUCAAACACAAAAAUAUAAUUAACA
rnacentral:lncRNA from 1 species